rfam:Ornithorhynchus anatinus chromosome 7, whole genome shotgun sequence.
AGCAGAGUGGCUCAGUGGAAAGAGCACGGACUUGGGAGUCAGAGAUCAUGAGUUCAAAUCCCGGCUCUGCCA